CCAACGGCCCUCUUUAGGGCCACAAAUAUAUGAACCUGUGCUAUU
rfam:Thelazia callipaeda genome assembly, scaffold: TCLT_contig0000880